ACGCCUAACACAUGCAAGUCGAACGCAGUAGCAAUACUGAGUGGCAAACGGGUGAGUAUAAUGUGGGAAUCUGCCUUUUGGUUUGGAAUAACACGGGGAAACUUGUGCUAAUACCGGAUAAGCCCUUACGGGGAAAGUUUUAACGCCGAAAGAUGAGCCUGCACUUGAUUAGCUAGUUGGUAAGGUAAAAGCUUACCAAGGCAACGAUCAAUAGCUGUUCUUAGAGGAAGACCAGCCACAUUGGGACUGAGACACGGCCCAGACUCCUACGGGAGGCAGCAGUGGGGAAUCUUGCACAAUGGGGGAAACCCUGAUGCAGCGAUGCCGCGUGAGUGAAGAAGGCCCUUGGGUUGUAAAACUCUUUCGUCGGGGAAGAAAAUGACUGUACCCGAAUAAGAAGGUCCGGCUAACUUCGUGCC
rnacentral:rRNA from 1 species